rnacentral:rRNA from 1 species
AUUGAACGCUGGCGGCAGGCUUAACACAUGCAAGUCGAGCGGGGUGAUGGUGCUUGCACUAUCACUUAGCGGCGGACGGGUGAGUAAUGCUUAGGAAUCUGCCUAUUAGUGGGGGACAACAUCUCGAAAGGGAUGCUAAUACCGUAUACGUCCUACGGGAGAAAGCAGGGGAUCACUUGUGACCUUGCGCUAAUAGAUGAGCCUAAGUCGGAUUAGCUAGUUGGUGGGGUAAAGGCCUACCAAGGCGACGAUCUGUAGCGGGUCUGAGAGGAUGAUCGGCCACACUGGGACUGGGGCACGGCCCAGACUCCUACGGGAAGCAGCAGUGGGGAAUAUUGGACAAUGGGGGGAACCCUGAUCCAGCCAUGCCGCGUGUGUGAAGAAGGCCUUAUGGUUGUAAAGCACUUUAAGCGAGGAGGAGGCUCUUUUGGUUAAUACCCAAGAUGAGUGGACGUUACUCGCAGAAUAAGCACCGGCUAACUCUGUGCCAGCCGCCGCGGUAA